AUAUUAUAUCAUAUACGUAGAUAAUUAAGUGAAAUAAGAUGAUAUAAAUAUAUAAUUAAAUUCAUGUUUAUUGUGGGUAUGACUUUUUAUACACAUUUUUCUUGAAUGGAUUGAGACGGACUACUACUAAUAUGAAUUUUUAUUGAUAUAUCAUGAAUAAUUGAUUAAAGAUUGUUUAAGCUCCCACAAUAUUAGAACCACAUACACCAUAACAAAGGCAAAAGGAUUUACCAAGUCAAAAGCAACC
rnacentral:lncRNA from 1 species